rnacentral:rRNA from 1 species
CUGCUGCCUCCCGUAGGAGUCUGGUCCGUGUCUCAGUACCAGUGUGGGGGACCUUCCUCUCAGAACCCCCUACGCAUCGUCGCCUCGGUGGGCCGUUACCCCGCCUACUGCCUAAUGCGCCGCAUGCCCAUCCCUGUCCGGCCGAAGCCUUUCCUGCCUCCGGGAUGCCCCGGUGGCAUGUACGCGGGUUUAGCCCGCCUUUCGGCGGGUUGUCCCCCUGACAGGGGCAGGUUGCAUACGUGUUACUCACCCGUGCGCCGGUCGCCGGCGGAGAAAG